UACCAGCUGGCUGCAACUGUUUAUUAAAAACACAGCACUGUGCAAACACGAAAGUGGACGUAUACGGUGUGACGCCUGCCCGGUGCCGGAAGGUUAAUUGAUGGGGUUAUCCGUAAGGAGAAGCUCUUGAUCGAAGCCCCGGUAAACGGCGGCCGUAACUAUAACGGUCCUAAGGUAGCGAAAUUCCUUGUCGGGUAAGUUCCGACCUGCACGAAUGGCGUAAUGAUGGCCAGGCUGUCUCCACCCGAGACUCAGUGAAAUUGAACUCGCUGUGAAGAUGCAGUGUACCCGCGGCAAGACGGAAAGACCCCGUGAACCUUUACUAUAGCUUGACACUGAACAUUGAGCCUUGAUGUGUAGGAUAGGUGGGAGGCUUUGAAGCGUGGACGCCAGUCUGCGUGGAGCCAACCUUGAAAUACCACCCUUUAAUGUUUGAUGUUCUAACGUAGGCCCCUGACCGGGGUUGCGGACAGUGUCUGGUGGGUAGUUUGACUGGGGCGGUCUCCUCCCAAAGAGUAACGGAGGAGCACGAAGGUUAGCUAAUCCUGGUCGGACAUCAGGAGGUUAGUGCAAUGGCAUAAGCUAGCUUGACUGCGAGCGUGACGGCGCGAGCAGGUGCGAAAGCAGGUCAUAGUGAUCCGGUGGUUCUGAAUGGAAGGGCCAUCGCUCAACGGAUAAAAGGUACUCCGGGGAUAACAGGCUGAUACCGCCCAAGAGUUCAUAUCGACGGCGGUGUUUGGCACCUCGAUGUCGGCUCAUCACAUCCUGGGGCUGAAGUAGGUCCCAAGGGUAUGGCUGUUCGCCAUUUAAAGUGGUACGCGAGCUGGGUUUAGAACGUCGUGAGACAGUUCGGUCCCUAUCUGCCGUGGGCGCUGGAGAAUUGAGGGGGGCUGCUCCUAGUACGAGAGGACCGGAGUGGACGCAUCACUGGUGUUCGGGUUGUCAUGCCAAUGGCACUGCCCGGUAGCUAAAUGCGGAAGAGAUAAGUGCUGAAAGCAUCUAAGCACGAAACUUGCCCCGAGAUGAGUUCUCCCUGAGACUUUAAGUCUCCUGAAGGAACGUUGAAGACGACGACGUUGAUAGGCCGGGUGUGUAAGCGCAGCGAUGCGUUGAGCUAACCGGUACUAAUGAACCGUGAGGCUUAACCUU
rnacentral:rRNA from 1 species